GAAUUUUAUAAAUUUAUUUUAUAAUUUUAAAAUAAAUUUAUUUAAUUGGGAGGAUUUUUAAAUUUAAAUAACUUUAAAUAUUUAAAACCAUUAAUUUAUGAUAUUUUAAAAUAAAUAAAUAUUAUUUAAAUAAAAAUUAAUUACCUUAGGGAUAACAGCAUAAAAUUUUUUUAUAGAUCUUAUAUAUAAAAAUAUUUGU
rnacentral:rRNA from 1 species